rnacentral:rRNA from 1 species
CGGGACGGGUGAGUAAUGUCUGGGAAACUGCCUGAUGGAGGGGGAUAACUACUGGAAACGGUAGCUAUACCGCAUAACGUCGCAAGACCAAAGAGGGGGACCUUCGGGCCUCUUGCCAUCGGAUGUGCCCAGAUGGGAUUAGCUAGUAGGUGGGGUAAAGGCUCACCUAGGCGACGAUCCCUAGCUGGUCUGAGAGGAUGACCAGCCACACUGGAACUGAGACACGGUCCAG